rnacentral:lncRNA from 1 species
AUCAACCUUCUGUUCUGUUAAACCUGGGAAGAAAGAGGUUUCAAAGAGUUCUUCCUCUUUAUGAGCCUUCUUACAGCCAAAUCCACUGCAGGUGGUGAAGGUAGGGGAAAAUAGGCAUUGACUUGUGCAUCUGGAUGCUGGGGAUGGACCACUGACAAGUGUUUUCAUUGAUCUGAAAUUAGCAAGACCACAGGCCAGAGUUGUCUCAAAUCCUCAUGUAUAUAUGAAUCACCAGGGCAUCUUGUUAAGAUGCUGCAGGUUUAGGGAGGGGCAGAGAGUGUGCCUUUCUAACAAGCUUCCAGGUGAUAUUGAGAUCUUGAUGCAGCUGGUUCUCAGACCGUGCUUUGAGAAGCGAGGCUACGCUUACCUGGCAGUUUGCUUUUUGGAGAUUUAUCCCGAGGGAACAUGGAUAAUAAAAGCCGUAUUGGGUCAAGAAGUUUUCAUCUAAGAAGGAGGAUUGUGCAAUAGAAAGAGGACUAACGAGGAGCAGGAAAACCAGGGCUGAAUUCCAAGUUAUGCAACAAGCUAACUGAGUGCAUUUGGAUAAGCUAUAGCCUCUCUGAGCUACAAGGAGGAGGUUAAGCUGUGUUGAACAUGUAUCCAGAGCACAAACAGAAACACCCAUUUGGAAAUGUCUGGAUUUGAUGAUGUCCAAGGUCCCUUCUUAACACGGAUAUCCUGUGAUCUCAGUGACAAGCAUAAAGAGGGAAAGAGGAACAAGUCACAAGAGAGUCCCAAAAGUUACAGCUUCUGAGAAAGAAACCAGAGGUCUGAGGAAAGGAAUACUCCAGUGUUCCUGAGAUGAAUCGAGACAGCAAACAGGAAACCAUCUUUGAAAAGCAAGAAGAAGCACCAAAGGUGAAAGAACAGAGAGGAGGGAAUGACUUACAACAGAACCAACAUGUGGCUGCUGCUGCUGCUGGUCAUCUCUAACUGACCACUUUACUGUCAGUGCCAAGCAUUGUGUCAAGCGCUGGAUCAAUAUUAUCUCACUUAAUUGUCAUCCCCGUUCUGUGAGUUUAUACGUGGGACGCCUACCACAGCAUGGCUGCCAAGCAGUGCCAUGUCCGCACCCGGGAUCCGAACCAGCGAACCCCGGGCCACCGAGAAGCGGAACGUGCGAACACCGGGCCGGCCCCUCUCUUUUAAACUUGAGUGGCACAAGAAAGCAGCCACCAGUCUUUCUGGGGACGUGUCCUAUCCCUUCCAGCUACAUCAUCCACACCAGCAGAGAUCCGGAACCCUAUGCAGACGACCCCAGUCCAGGUCACAAGGUGACCAUCACAGAGAAGGGAAAUAUGUUACUUGUUGACAAUACACUGAGCUCACACUGAUGGACAUGCUUAAUCUUCACUCUCCUCCUCCAAGGCUAUAUUUCUCCUGGGGGAACAUGACAUCUUUAUUUUGACAAAAUGUCCUGAGUGGGAGGUGAAGACAGACUACAGCCCUCGAGCCACCAUUUAUUUGAAACUGCCAGCCUUUUUCCUCCAGAACCAAUGAUGCAGAAGUCUUCCAAAAUUUGAACAUCAUUGUGUUAUUUAAUAGCCAAAAAUCUUAUUUUUCUCCUGAUUUAUGCUUGAUAACCCUCUUGAAAUCAUUUAAGGAUAUGUACAAAAGAUAUACUUUUAUGUAGGAUCUAGUUUGAACUCAGAAAGUUAGCAAAAUAUAAAUGAAAUGGUAGAAAAAUGGCAAUAAUGCCACCAUAUUUUGGCUAAUAUGUUCCUAUGCUAAUUAACUGGACUGAAUGUGGAAAACAUACAGAGUUCAGUGAAAGAGGACAUCUGGCCAUCCCAUCUGAACUACUUAUUAGCUCUGUGACCUUGGCUAAGUCACUUAACUUCUCUGAAUCAGUUUCCUCAUCUAUAAAAUUGAAGACACUAAUACUGAGCUUACAGUAUUAUUUGAAUUACUACUUUUACAGUGUGAACCAUACACACAUCAUCUUGUCUGAACUUCUGUCAUGCUUUAGUCAUAUUACUUUUAUAAUUACUAGUGUUUCUAUAUGUAUCAUCUCUUAUUUAGGUGAAAAUAAUUUAAUUGCUUAAUAGUUUACAGAGGGAUUCACACACAUUAGAUCAAUUGAUCUUCACAGCAACCCUGGUAAAUAAGACAGGUAGAUAUUAUUCCAUUUUAGAAGCAAGGAAGUGAGAAGCAAAGAAUUCAAUAAUUUCCCUAAACUCACACAGCUAGAAUGUAGUAGAAGGCAAUGCAAACCCGGCAUUCUGAUUCUACUCUCAUUAAUAGAGCCAUGUUCCCAGGUCAAAUGCUCACUAAAGAGAAGGGUGUAGACUUUCACUAAGACAGGACUGGGACUUCACCCUUGAAUCCACUUCCCUUCCCAUCCCAACUCCCAGGGCCUAGCGCCAUCUUUUAUUCAUAGUGGGCUCUCCACACAUAUUUGCGGAACUCAUUCAUUCACUCAAUCAUUCAAUAUUUAUUGAAUGUCUAUAUGCUAGGCACUCUGCUAAGUGCUAAGAUACUACGAUGAGAAAUACAGACUUGACUGUGCCUACAAAGACUUAUAAUAAACGGAAGGAAGGAAGGAAGGAAAGAAGGGAGGAAAGAAAGAAGGAUGGAGAGAGGGAGGAGGGAGGGGAAGCAAACUGGGCAGAUAUUCUUAAUUUUUUAAUCUGGAUAAAAUACAAAAGUUAGGUCCAGCCCAGGUCAGUCUCCAUAGUGGUGCUCAGAAAGUUCUUGGCCCCAGCCCCAGAGUAAUAUUUUUAGCAAUACUGUAAAGAUUUCUUCAAGGUGGUUUGUCGCAGGCUUUCUGGAUUGCUGGGGAGGAAAUGUGAAGGUGUGUCCGACCCGGUUGCAGAAGGUACACAUAACGGAGUGCAUCGAAGUCAGGGGAAGCUUGCUAGCUUCAUUUUCUGAUACUUCUCCUCAUCUAGAUGAGAGAAGUGUUUAUUUAGGAGUGUUCUCCCUGCCCUUGGCUUAGAAACAAGCUAUAAAUUUUACUAAUCUCAAAGAAGACCAUUUUUUUGUGUGCUUUUUCUCUUUGGUAUAAACUCAUAGACACUUGCUCUGAAAAUCAGCCCUGAGUUAUGCAUCAAUGUUUCCAAUUACAUUCCAGUUACAUGAAGUUUAACAACUCUGAAUAAUGAUUUUAGGGGCGGGGCACAGUGAUUCCCAUCCAAGGGAAGGGAAAUAACAUUCAGCACCUACCUCACAGCCAGCUCCUGUACAGCUCUAUUUUGUCACUGUUUCAUCCUUCGUACAAGACACAGCAGCCCUCAGUAAACAAAGGAUGGUAGAGCAAUACUUAAUUUCCUUAAAUUAUCCAGAAUAUCAAUUAGGAAAUUGAUUUCCUACUUUUCGUGAAAGUAUUUACAAAUGAAUAAAAUUGUGAUGUGAGUUCUCCUUUAUGCAGAAGCCAUUUUAAAAAUUGCUGAAUUCUAAUCUUUUUACAAAAAUUUUCUGCUUUUCAGAUAAUAGGCAUUGACAAGAAUUCAUUUCUUCCUGGCACAUUCACCAUGGCGUACUUGUAAACAUAAUGUACAUAAUCAGUAGAUAGAAAAAUAGCAAAGUAUAUAUCUUCUAAGAAUUUAGUGCUUGAGUAGAAUGAAUGACUUAUUAACCCGUGUUAUAGAUAAUAACUCAUGCUGCGAUACUUUCUACUGAUGAUGUUUAAACCUACAGCAGUGACCAUAGGCAUGAAAAAUUGCCAGGCCAGUCUUGCAGUCCUUUGCAACGUCUAUUUCUAGAAAUAUUUUUUAGAAGUUGGGUAUUUCUAUUUUCUACUACAUCCUCUCAGAAAACAAGUUAUACUUGUCAAUACCGAAAACUAGUUACUCUUAUUAAUGUAAAUUGCGUGAUCACAUCCUUUGGUAAUUUUAAUAAAUAAAAGACAUAAUGGCAAACCAACACCAAAAGAUUUAUAGGUUAUAA